rnacentral:tRNA from 1 species
GGAGUUGUAGCUCAGUGGUAGAGUGCUUGCCUUGCAUGUGUGAGGCACUGGGUUCGAUUCUCAGCACCA